rnacentral:rRNA from 1 species
UGGGCAACCUGCCCCUCUCUCUGGGAUAACCCCGGGGAAACCGGAGCUAAUACCGGAUACUCCGGCUGGAUCGCAUGGUCCGGCCGGGAAAGGUCCGCCGGAGAGGGAUGGGCCCGCGGCCUAUCAGCUUGUUGGUGGGGUCAUGGCUCACCAAGGCGACGACGGGUAGCUGGUCUGAGAGGACGACCAGCCACACUGGAACUGAGAUACGGUCCAGACUCCGUACGGGAGGCA